UACGUAGGUGACAAGCGUUGUCCGGAUUUACUGGGCGUAAAGAGCGCGCAGGCGGUCGAUCAAGUCGAGUGUGAAAGCCCCCGGCUCAACUGGGGAGGGUCAUUCGAUACUGAUCGACUCGAAGGCAGGAGAGGGUAGUGGAAUUCCCGGUGUAGUGGUGAAAUGCGUAGAUAUCGGGAAGAACACCAGUGGCGAAGGCGACUACCUGGCCUGUUCUUGACGCUGAGGCGCGAAAGCUAGGGGAGCAAACGGG
rnacentral:rRNA from 1 species